GUCGAACGAAGCACUUUAAUCGAUUUCUUCGGAUUGAAAUUUUAGUGACUGCCUGUCGGACGGGUGAGUAACGCGUGGGUAACCUGCCUCACACAGGGGGAUAACAGUUGGAAACGGCUGCUAAUACCGCAUAAGCGCACAGUACCGCAUGGUACAGUGUGAAAAACUCCGGUGGUGUGAGAUGGACCCGCGUCUGAUUAGCUAGUUGGCAGGGCAACGGCCUACCAAGGCGACGAUCAGUAGCCGACCUGAGAGGGUGACCGGCCACAUUGGGACUGAGACACGGCCCAAACUCCUACGGGAGGCAGCAGUGGGGAAUAUUGCACAAUGGGGGAAACCCUGAUGCAGCGACGCCGCGUGAGCGAAGAAGUAUUUCGGUAUGUAAAGCUCUAUCAGCAGGGAAGAAGAAAUGACGGUACCUGACUAAGAAGCACCGGCUAAAUACGUGCCAGCAGCCGCGGUAAUACGUAUGGUGCAAGCGUUAUCCGGAUUUACUGGGUGUAAAGGGAGCGCAGGCGGAAGGCUAAGUCUGAUGUGAAAGCCCGGGGCUCAACCCCGGUACUGCAUUGGAAACUGGUCAUCUAGAGUGUCGGAGGGGUAAGUGGAAUUCCUAGUGUAGCGGUGAAAUGCGUAGAUAUUAGGAAGAACACCAGUGGCGAAGGCGGCUUACUGGACGAUAACUGACGCUGAGGCUCGAAAGC
rnacentral:rRNA from 1 species